UCAUUUAAGGGUUGGCAGUGGAGGUGUGGGUGUCUUGGUGGAGAUCCCUGUCUACCUGAGGUCUUCUAAGGUUCUAAGAGACAAUUGGAAGAAGUGUUAACAAAACCAAGAUGGAUUGUAUUAAUCAGUGGCAAAGGAAGAGAACUGCUAUAAUACUGGAACAGAAUAAUUAGUCAUUUCUAAGUCUGGCACCUAAAGCAGUGAAGAAGGUUGUGUCUCCAUGUGAAAUGCAGCAGUCAGCAUUUCUUACACAGAUGAAAAAGGAAAGAUGUCAGGAAAUGAGGAUGUGCCAAACUCUGGAUCGUACACUCUGCACAUACACUAAGGGACACUUCAUGAUUUAUCAUUGACUACAGAAUAGCUUUUGAAUAGCCCUUUAUGUAUGUACAGAAGGUAUUCUGGUUUGUUUGUUUGUUUGUUUUGUGUAGGAGAGGAAGACACGAUGCUCAGAUGUUUUCUACUCUUAUGAUACAGAAAAGAAAGAAUGUGAAUAUUUUCUUUCAAAAUCCAAAUAGAGAUCCACAAAUGUCAGAAAUAUACUACAACAUGAUUUUGCAUUCUCAAUGUGUCUGUAUUUUGUUUUUAAAGAACAAAAAAAGUGUAUGUGUUUUAAGUAUAGUGACGGUGGAGGUAACUUCAUAUAUAUAUUUUCUGUUGCUUGUGAGAAUGAGAAGAUAUACACACACACAAUAGGGAUAGCAUUGAAUAAGAACUGAACAUGUCUUAAGGAACAGUAACAAAAAGAGAACAAUUUCUUUAACUUUAAAAUAGAAAUCAUUGGUAUGUUGCUUUCCUUAAAAAAGAAAACAAACAAAAAGCCAGUGAAUUGUUAAUUGCCUCAGGCAUAUAUAAGCACCCAGUCUGACAAAGACCUGUGUCUAAUUUUAUGCAUGAGAAUAGCCCAGUUGAUGUCUUUGGAGCUAAAAGUGUAUCAAGCAGUGCCUGUGGAUAUAGUACUGAAAACACUGGACACCACAUUGUUUUAAGCAAAAAAUAACAUUUUUUUUAACCACUUGAAAAAUCAGCACUCGAUGUCUUGUAUUAUUUUACACAAGAGGAAUAUAUACAUUAGUAGAACAGCUCUAUCAAAAAAUUUAUUUACUACAAGCUUACAAUUGCAUCAAACAACAUUGUAUUAAAAAAUACCAAAUCAGUAAAUAUUAGUUGUUGGUGUUGAUCUAAUAUGUUAAAACAUAACCAUUUAAGUGUUAGGUUUUAUAAAUCAUUGUUUUCUAGACAAUUCCGUAUAUGGAAGUUGAGAAUAAAUUUGCAGCU
ensembl:lncRNA